UGGGGAAUAUUGGACAAUGGGCGCAAGCCUGAUCCAGCCAUGCCGCGUGAGUGAUGAAGGCCCUAGGGUUGUAAAGCUCUUUCACCGGUGAAGAUAAUGACGGUAACCGGAGAAGAAGCCCCGGCUAACUUCGUGCCAGCAGCCGCGGUAAUACGAAGGGGGCUAGCGUUGUUCGGAUUUACUGGGCGUAAAGCGCACGUAGGCGGACUUUUAAGUCAGGGGUGAAAUCCCGGGGCUCAACCCCGGAACUGCCUUUGAUACUGGAAGUCUUGAGUAUGGUAGAGGUGAGUGGAAUUCCGAGUGUAGAGGUGAAAUUCGUAGAUAUUCGGAGGAACACCAGUGGCUAAGGCGGCUCACUGGACCAUUACUGACGCUGAGGUGCGAAAGCGUGGGGAGCAAACAGG
rnacentral:rRNA from 1 species